UUAUUUUGUUAUGGUUUGUUUACAUUCUUUGACUUUUAGAGUUAUAAAUAAAGUAAUGAAGCAACGCUACUACAACUAAUUUCUUAGUGUUUCGCACUACAACAUUGAUUUUGGUGCACAAAAGUGUUAGAAGUGGAGGUCAGGCUUGCUAAUACGAUGAAGUAUAGCAACACCCUAAUAUUCACUAAUGAUCCUUCCGCAGGUUCACCUACGGAAA
rnacentral:misc_RNA from 1 species